AGUGAACGCUGGCGGUAGGCCUAACACAUGCAAGUCGAACGGCAGCACAGUAAGAGCUUGCUCUUACGGGUGGCGAGUGGCGGACGGGUGAGGAAUACAUCGGAAUCUACUUUUUCGUGGGGGAUAACGUAGGGAAACUUACGCUAAUACCGCAUACGACCUACGGGUGAAAGCAGGGGAUCUUCGGACCUUGCGCGAUUGAAUGAGCCGAUGUCGGAUUAGCUAGUUGGCGGGGUAAAGGCCCACCAAGGCGACGAUCCGUAGCUGGUCUGAGAGGAUGAACAGCCACACUGGAACUGAGACACGGUCCAGACUCCUACGGGAGGCAGCAGUGGGGAAUAUUGGACAAUGGGCGCAAGCCUGAUCCAGCCAUACCGCGUGGGCGAAGAAGGCCUUCGGGUUGUAAAGCCCUUUUGUUGGGAAAGAAAAGCAGCAGGUUAAUACCCCGCUGUUCUGACGGUACCCAAAGAAUAAGCACCGGCUAACUUCGUG
rnacentral:rRNA from 1 species